rnacentral:rRNA from 1 species
UGGGGAAUAUUGCACAAUGGGCGGAAGCCUGAUGCAGCAACGCCGCGUGCGGGAUGACGGCCUUCGGGUUGUAAACCGCUUUCGCCUGUGACGAAGCGUGAGUGACGGUAAUGGGUAAAGAAGCACCGGCUAACUACGUGCCAGCAGCCGCGGUGAUACGUAGGGUGCGAGCGUUGGCCGGAUUUAUUGGGCGUAAAGGGCUCGUAGGUGGUUGAUCGCGUCGGAAGUGUAAUCUUGGGGCUUAACCCUGAGCGUGCUUUCGAUACGGGUUGACUUGAGGAAGGUAGGGGAGAAUGGAAUUCCUGGUGGAGCGGUGGAAUGCGCAGAUAUCAGGAGGAACACCAGUGGCGAAGGCGGUUCUCUGGGCCUUUCCUGACGCUGAGGAGCGAAAGCGUGGGGAGCGAACA